rnacentral:lncRNA from 1 species
GUACAGUGGUGUUGUUAUAGCUGAAGGUGUUCUGAGCAGUGACAGCAUUUUCCAUAACGACGGUACUAUUUAUGUUUGAUCUUAGAAUUUCUGAUGACAUUGAAAUUACUUUUUUUCUAUAACGAGGGACAUCCAAAUAACUCUUUUUCUGCCUUUUUCUCAUUUUCUUAUGCUCUUUUUUUUCUGGAGUUCAUGCCUUUCAAAUAUAUUUUUUCUGCCCUUUUCCCAUUUUGUUUCAGGACAUUCUUGGG